rnacentral:lncRNA from 1 species
CCUGUGGGGCGGUACGCAAGGACGCACGCCCGAUCCUGAGCAGCCCUUCUUUAGACCAUUUAUCAGGAUUGUGUCAGGGUCCAUUGAUCCUGUGAAGUUGGGUUGAGAUGUCUGUGCUUUGUUUUUGUGUGGUUUGUUGAUUAAACGUGCAGCUCAGGGCGUCCAAGAUACCUGACAGCGAAUUCACCACCCUGCCCAAUGGCCUCAACAAGUAAGCGCUUCAUCUGAUUUAGUUUGUGUUGCUGUCAUUUUGGGAGAAAUUUGGUUCUGUUUUUAGUGUCUCAUGUAUUAGCAUGGGUAUGAAUCAGAGUUCAAAAUAGGUCGUUUCACUGACAUAAAAUCUUUAUUCAGAGAUCAGGCAUUUUGCUGAUCCUUGUUUCACUAAAAAGAUAAAGCAUGCUUUUCUAUUGCCUGAAUCUGCAAAGUACUUAUCAAAUUUCGGACUAGGUACUAUGAUAUCAAAGUAGGAAGCGGGGCUCAAGCUGUUAAGGGAUCCCGUGUUGCGGUAAGUACCACCACAAUUUGUGUAUCUAGGAUCUAGCAUGAUAUAGCCUUAAUGGACGAAUCAAAUAUAGUUGACGCUGAAUGCAAUAAUCCAAGGAAUAGAGGAAUGGUGACCAUGAGGUCCCUUGACUCCUGAGACUGGGAAGUCUGAAUUGUAUUCAUUUGCUUACCGAUUUGAAGACGAAAUCUUGUUUUCUAAUGUGCUCUUGUUUUUUUAAUCAUGUGAAUAAAAUAAUGACUUGCUUGAAAUUAUAUAUGGCUUGUAUAAUUUUUUAAAGUAUGGAUGCAUGGACGAUUUAUUUAUAUAAAAUAGUUAGGGAGGAUGUAAAUAUGUCUGGAGAUAUAAAAAUAGUGUAAACGACAAACUCUGUUGAAACAAAUUGGUUUUUUUUAAAAGCAUUUCCUAUAAAAAACCGUAGCGUUAGCACGGGCAUUAUA